UAAAGCCUUCAGCUGGUCCAAAAUGCUGCAUCAAGAGUUGUGAUGAAAAUGAAAAAGAGAGAUCAUGUUUCUCCUAUUUUAGCUUCCCUUCAUUGCCUCCCUGUUAAACCAGGAGGGAAUUUAAGA